AGCUGGACCAAAAAGCAGCCAAUAUCAAGUGAUCUGCUAGACCUCCAGUGACUAGCACUCUAGUGCAAAACCUUAACAGUGACCUCACCAAUGUUAAGGUAGAGUAACUUCCAAGAGUAUGGAACAUCUGAAAGUCGCAUGUACCCAUCUGUUGAUGCAAGAGAAUCUGAGACUACCAUUGACGUUUUGUGCCCGAGGGCAAGUUUGAUGAAACAGAGACUCAGUGCAUGCGAGAGGGGAAAUAUUGACUCUUAAAGCUGCCCAAGGGUGAUGCUAAGCUUUCCCAGUUUACUGGGUACACCUAAGCAAGACUCAAGUUUCGCUAUAUAAACUGGGGUCCAAAAGGAAGUCCUUUGAACCCAACUCCAGGACACAGCCCCAGGAUCAGAGCUGCCAGACCUCAACACCCUGCCAACCACACUGAGCAGAAGUUGGAGUCACCCAGAUGACCUGAUCCUGA